CUUCUAGAAGUUGCCAUCUUUCUUCACAUGCUCUGCUGUACAAGAUUAUCUAAACUUCUACUAUAGGCUGCAUAGCCGAUCACCACUUUCUCUCGCUUUGAACCAGGAUCAUCACAGAACAACCAGUUUGUCUGCUUCUUUGGAAACCCAUAAUAGCAUCUACCACAGAAGGAGGAUGGAUGGGCCGAGGAUUGGACGCAUAGUAGAUUUUGUGACAUCAUGUAUACCUAGCACUUGGAAUUAGUAGGGGAGUAGGGUGGAUCGAUACUUGUGACACUCUCUGUGUAUGGAAAUUAUUAAUAAUAGAUGUAACAGUAUAUGUUAAUUGCUUAGAGAGAUUCUCUGUAUUUUUAUGGAUAAGACUGACACCCCCUGAAUAUGUGAUGGUAUAUUCUGGGUUUUGAUCCUGAUAUCAUCAGGGUUUUCUUGAGCACAUGCACUGGGCACUUUAUCACAUCUGUCUCCUAUGGUUUACUCUCUUUUCACACACACUUGCACUUUAUAUCUGUUGAUAUCAGAAUCAAACCUAGGGUAGAAUUGGGUUUUAGAUGAUUAUAACAUCUCUUAUGGGCGUGACUAAUAAUGUCAGUAGUGUUUAUGCACAGUGGACUCUGGGUGUGACAUAUGUGUAUAUACAAUUACACGUGUGCCGCGACCUGGGUGGAUUGUGCAUACACUACCUUUGGGUAUU